CCUACGGGUGGCAGCAGUGGGGAAUAUUGCACAAUGGGCGAAAGCCUGAUGCAGCGACGCCGCGUGAGGGAAGAAGUAUUUCCGUAUGUAAAGCUCUAUCAGCAGGGAAGAAAAUGACGGUACCUGACUAAGAAGCCCCGUCUAACUACGUGACAGCAGCCGCUGUAAUACGUAAGGGGCAAGCGUUAUCCGGAUUUACUGGGUGUAAAGGGGGCGUAGAGGGCGAAGCAAGUCUGAAGUGAAAACCCAGGGCUCAACCCUGGGACGGCUUUGGAAACUGGUUUGCUAGAGUGUCGGGGAGGUAGGUGGAAUUCAUGGUGUAGCGGUGAAAUGCGUAGAUAUUAGGAAGAACACCAGUGGCGAAGGCAGCUUACUGGACGAUAACUGACGUUGAGGCUCGAAAGCGUGGGGAGCAAACAGGAUUAGAUACCCUGGUAGUC
rnacentral:rRNA from 1 species